UGGGUGGAGCAGGGGGUUAGGGCAGGGAGCAGCCCCAGGAAUCCACCACCAGGCGGGCUGGGAGCAGCGCCAGGGCUGGCUGGUUGGACAGGGCCGCUCCAAGAGGGCACUUGAGUUGGAGAGGGUGCAGAGCUGCUAGGGUGGGGUGGGACCUCCGGCCCCUCAAACCUUAUCUUCAGAGCCUGAACAGAGGCCAGGCCCCCUGCUCCAGGCCCGUCAGCUGGUGACAGGGUGGGGUGGGCUGGGAGCUGUUCUCUCAGUGAUUCACGCCUCUGAGCUGGGCAUCUCCGCUGGCACCAUGCUGAUUCCCCGCACCCCCAAGGUGGGGAGGGGUGGAGUCCGGCCACAUUCCACCCCUCUACACACAGACAGACCCCAAGAAUGCGCACUGACCUGAGGCCAAAGAGCUGCUUGGCCCAGCCCUUCCUCACUUCCGCACACUGACCCCAAGCUCCAGGGCCUCAGCCUGGUUGACUUCCCCACCAGGGCUUCCCCCCACCCCUGCCCCAAGUGAUGGGCUGGGCCCAGAACCAGACUGGGAGUGAAGAAACUCCCCCACUUUGGGGGUGACUUACUGGGGGCCUUCUUCCCCAAGCAGCCCUUACUUUACUCAGCCUGCUGACAGCUGCCUGAGUCCCCAAGCCCACCAGAACGGCAGGGGCUCAGCCACUAUCUGGGAGACCCCCUCAGCCCACACCAGAGAGCUCAGCCCAGAAGAGCCACUCAGCCUCCUCCCCCGAGGCCCUGUCCCCCAGCCCAGCCCUCUUGGCACCUUCACAAACAGCUGGAGCUUGGCGGUCUCAGCCAUGGCAGGCGCAGAGGCUCUGAGCACAGACAGGGCGCCAGGCAGGGGCCUGUGCUCUUUAAGGCUCCCUGGCUGCCCCGCCCUCCCUGGCCCAGGGGCCGCCCCACCAGGUACUUAGUCGGGAGGUGAGGCUGCCCAGGUUCAGAGCCAGCUGUGCAGGACUGUACGUGCAGAAGGCUGAGCUCCAGGGUGUGACUGCAGGUGGAAACUGGGUGUUUGGGGCUAGCCCGAGAUUGAGACUGAGGCAGCUGGUACAGGCUGAGGGCCCAGGACUGUGGGUCUGAUUCAGGGCAGACAGUCGGAUGGGUUCAAGAACAGUGGACUGAGUGAGAGGCAGGGGGGUGGAGUGCCACUAGCUGGGGGGUGGUGGGCACAGCUCUGGAUCAGGCACCCCCACCACAGACCCCAGCCCAAGAUCUGCACUCAGGGCCCUCUGCAGGGAGCACCUGCUGUUGAUCAGGGCCUGGGCCCAGAGAGCUAGGGUGUCUGCUUGUUGGGAGAGAGGGGAGGAACAUCCUAGCCGUGGCCUGAGUUUCCCCAUCUCUAGGAUCUGCAUUAGGAGUGAUGAGCCCUCUUGGGAGGGACCCGCUACCCAACGCACAGCUGGCCCUGCUGGGUCAGGCGGUGUCACAGACAAGCCUGCACUCCUGCUCAGGGCAGCACCCCACAUUCCAGCCAGCCAGUCUGGGAGAUGAGCUUGGCUUUCCAGACCGUGGUGGAGGCGCCUCCACCCUGCACUACUGCUCUCCCACGCAGGCCCAGCGCUGGCUUUUCUUUCUCCUCGAACCUUAUAAAAAGAAGUGUGGGGAGGGAAGUUAGAUCCCCAGCCUGCUGGAGCCCACAACCUGGGUGCACCCCGUUCCCGUCUCCCCCCGCCCCCGGGCGCCUAGUGGAAGGGGAGCAGCCCCAGGGGACCCCGGAGGGGCGACCUCCUCCAGGCAGGGCGCCCAAGGAGGCUCGGCUGCCACCCGGUGGCCGCAAACUGCAUUGCCCGGAGCCUGCGCGCCCGGCUCACCUGGCGCGCGUAGAGUGGUGCUGGCCGGACAGGGCGUUCCGGCGGCGCCGGUUCCCCACGCCCGCCCGUGCGCUCUGCCCGCUGCCCCCUCGCCAAGGGCCCUGGUCCACGCGGCUUGGGCUCCUGUCCCCGGCUCAAGGCUCCGCAGCCUUCCCGGGAGUCUGUGCCGUGCCCGAAAUGCGCCGUCCUCUCCAGCACGCGGUCGGGGCUCAGGGGCACCGACGUGCGUGCGGGGGGCUCCAGUGGUCACAUAGUCAGGUAGGAGCCUGAGUUUUCCCCUCCACCCCGCCUCUAUGAAGCCCCUGUGAAGAUCCGGUGCUCCACGCUUUCAGCCAUGCCAAUACUGUCGGCGCCACAGUCAUAGCUCCUCUGGCUGGUUUCUGCUUCCCUCACAAACUGCCAACCCUGGGGAAGCAGCCGAAGGCCCUGCACACCUGUACCUGUUCACCACAUGUCGUGUGUGUGUGUGUAAAAUUUUAUAUGCACAAUAAUAAAACCAUUGUGGUCGAGUGGUUUCCAACUUGUAGUGACCCUAUAGGACAGAGCAGGACUGCUCCAUAGGGUUUCCAAGGAGCAGCUGGUGGAUUCCAACUGCUGACCUUUUGGUUAGCAGCCGAGCACUUAACUGCUGUGCCACCAGGGCUUCAUAAUAAUACAGUAUAUAAUGUAUGUAGUGUAUAACGUAUAUAGAGUCUAACAUGUAGUGUGUAACAUAUGUAGUAUGUAACAUGUGAUGUGUAACGUAUGUAGUGUGUAACAUAUGUAGUGUGUAACAUACACAGUGUAUGUUGUUGUUAGGUGCCCUGCAGUCAGUUCCGACUCAUAGCGACCCCAUGUACAACAGAAUGAAACACUGCCUGGUCCUGCACUGUCCUCACUACGCUUGAGCCCACUGUUGCAGCCACUGUCUCUGUGUAUGUGUGUGUGUGUGUGUGUGUGUGUGUAUUCUUUUUGACCCCAAAGGGAAACCCAGUACACUUUAAACAAUAACCACCCCCAGCCCCUGGAAACCACGAUUUUACUUCUUUCUGCGCAUUUGCCUAGUCUAGGUAUUUCAUAUAAAUGGGAUUAUACAAUGUUGUCCUUUUGUGUCUGACCUUGUCACUCAGUGUCGUGUUCUCAAUGCUCACCUAUGUUGGGGCAUGACUCAGGACUUCAUUUCUCUUUACGCUUGAGCAUUCCACUGUAUGCAUAGACCACGUAUUUUGAUCAGCCCACCUGUUGCUGGACACUUGGGUUGUUUCCAGCUGUUGUGAAUAGUGCCGCAGUGAACACUGGUGUACACAAAACUGUUCGAGUCCCUGUUUUCAAUUCCUUUGGGUACAUACCUAGGGGUGGGAUUGCUGAGUCAUGCGGUGAUUCUAUGUUUAGCUUUUUGAGGAACCACCAGACUGUAGGGGGUGUCAUUUUAAGAUGGGGAUUAGGUCCAGUUUAGGGCCCUGGCUCUGUGCUCCGGCAGCGGGUAGUCAGAGGGAGCAGGAAGAUUGAGCUUUUUUGUCCCUGGACCUGCCCCUCCCUCGGCACAGGGGCCUGGGGCAGGGAGCAGGCUCAGCUCGGUAACCCUGCUGAACUAGCACCCUAGCACCCUCUCCCCAAGGCAUUUCGGGAUUGUCUGGAACAGGACCUUGUCCUGGCAGAGAAGAGAUUUGUAGGGCACAGACACCCUCUGCCUCCAUUUGGGGCUGGGACUGUGUGCUGGGUUUGCACUGAUCAAGCCAGGGUAUCCAAAUGUGGAGCCUGGCCAGCCUUUAGGGGCUACAGCUGGUACUGCGGUUCCAGUUAGGCAGCUGGGCUGUGUGUGGCUGGGGUGCGGGUGGGUUUCAGCAGGUUCUGGGUCGGGUGGGGUGGUCGGGACAGGCUGAGGGCUUAUGCCUCACCCACCUCCAGCUCCUAGGGACCUGGUAUAUGAAGGCAGUGGUGGCCGACAAGGACUUGUCCAUGGAAAAGAGGCCCAAGAAGGUGUCCCCCAUGAUGGUGACUGCCCUGGAGGGUGAGAACCUAGAGGCUUCGUUUACUUUCCUGUGAGUCUUGGCCCCACCCCUGCUGGCUCAGGGGCUUCUCGCCUACCCUAAGCAGCCCCACCUGCUGUUCCUCUGGCUACCGAAUAUUUGAAGUUACACACACUGGUAAAAUAGGUGUGUCAGGUUCAUCAGCAAACUUUGGAGGAAGGAGUCCUGGGGUGCUCUAUGCCCGGGAGCAGGUGGCAGUGAAAUUUUGGGGGCACCUGAGCAGAGGGACACCUGGGCCAGAAGAGCUGAGGACGGCUCAGGUGUGCCGCCUUAUGUUCCCCGGAAAGAAGGAUCAGUGCCACAAGAAGAGAGCUGUGAUGGAGAGAAUGGGGGGAACCUGGCACAUACAGUGCCCUGAGUCCGGCCCCCCACCCCACCCCCAACCCCAUCCACACACGGAGAAUGCCCAGGGUGGCCUUCCUGCCUGAGUGUCCCUGCCCUGUCCGAACUCCAGGGCAUGCUAAGCUUCACCUUCCCAGGGACUUGCUGCCCCAGGAGGCAGUAGUGACCUGAGAUCAGACCCCAGGUAUGGCGGGUUCAUCUGCAGCAGGGACUUGGCUGACCACCCCGUCCAUCUGGGUGGUCCUAGCUGUUGACCUGGCAGGAAUAUGGGGGUUAGGGAUCGGGGAGGGAUGGAAGCAUAGCUGUGGGGCAGAGACAGGUGUCCAGCUGCCCUGAGCUGAAAUGGUCAAGCUCCAAACUCUGACACUGUUUGCCCUGACCCCUCCUCGUGUUUCCAUGAGGGGUUGGGGACCCUUCCCCCAGGAGGCGGCUCUCUCUCGGUGAUUGGGGUCCAUAGUGGUGGGGAACAGCAAGACCCUGGGCUCCUGCCAGGCUGGGGGCUCUAGGGGCUGGGUGUGCUGUACGGUGAGGGCAGCCUAGAAUCCAGAACCUUCUAGGCUGUUCCUUAAAUGGUCUGGGUGUUUUCUCUAGGAAUGAAGAAAGUGAAGGCCGAUUUCUUCUCUGCCUACAGAUGGGAACAGGAAGCACAUGCUGCUCCAGGACCUGCCGUGAAGGACCACAAUGUGGGAAAACUUUCCUCAUGGCAAAGCUCAUGGGGAAGGGAGCUUCUGGCCCCACCUCCAUCUCCACCCCAGGACGCAGGGGGUUGUGGCCCUGCACUGGCCUCUGCCCAUGGAGCCCAGGCGUGAACAUGGAAGCCCUGAACGAACAUGAGAAAUUCAUAAAGUGCAAAGGAUUCACUUGAAAAACCUUCACCUCCGCCCAGACAGAGAGCUGCACUCCUGAAAGUGGGUAGGGUGAGUAGGCACUUCUGGAGGACGUUGGGACUGAUCAGAGUGUUGGAGUCUGUGGCGUUCAGGAUUGUGUUCUCUGAAGUCCCCACCUGCCCCAAGUCAGCAGGAGACGCCCCACCUGGGCCAGGCAGGGGCCACUGCUGCCCUUUUUGUCAGCUUAGGCCCCUGCUCGUUACCCUCAGAAGUCCCUGACUGUAAUUCCCGGGACACUCAGGAUCCUCUCUUUUACCUAAUUAAACCCACCACCCCGUGUCCUUGCUGGUGGUGUGAGGCUCCUUCUUGGGGCCCUGCUCCCCAGGCCUGUGACCACACUGUCCUCCGUGAGCGCCCCUUGGUGUACGACAGGGAGGGUCUCCCCUCAGUUUACCACCUCCACACACACCCAGGUAUGCAGGUAAACGGCAUUCAGUGACA